GACGGGGGCUGCGAGCGUUACCCGGAAUUACUGGGCGUAAAGCGUCUGUAGGCGGAGAUGCAAGUCACUUGUGCAAAACUCUGGCUGAACCGGAGGAAAGCCAGUGAAACUGGCUGGCUAGAGUGUGGGGGAGGUAGGAGGAAUUCCCGGAGUAGCGGUGAAAUGCGUAGAUACAGGGAAGAAUACCGGAGGCGAAGGCGUUCUACUGGGACACAACUGACGCUGAGAGGCGAAAGCGAGGGGAGCAAACCGG
rnacentral:rRNA from 1 species